CCACAGGUGAUGACAUCACCAUGAUCUCAUUACUGGCUGCAGGCGAUAACUGUAGUGUCAUUUGUUUUUUUCAGAGAUCACAUGCAUGUGCUGAGACCGAUCUGGCGACAAGGCGACUACUCUCGAGAGAAACCACAAGACAAAUAACAAACACUGCACAGGCGUCUCGAGUGACACCGGCUCAAGGUUGGAGCACGAUCAGAGGCGAGGCAGAGAUGAGUGGACCGAGCGUUUGGCAGCAAAUAGAGCGAUGAGAGAUUGUUGUGUCAGUCCCGCUGCUGGAGGAUUUGUGCUCUUCAACCCGCGGGCUGUGUGUGUGUGUGUGUGCUUUCUCACACCGGGUCAUGUUUCAUACAGUACCAGGGCAUAAAUAUCCACUCUGUUGAGCAUGAUUGGCAGUCUGUAUAUUUUAGGGAGGAGAAGUGACAGACUGUCUAUUUCUCUCUCUCUCUCUCUCUUUCUGGAUUUCUUUUAUUUUCAAUUCCUUCUGUACUUGACCUAACCAUCCUCACGGUUCAUGUAAACAGCAUUUGAAUUCAAAAUCGUCGUUUGGAUAAGUAGUAAUCAUUUAGCAGGACCCCAAACACACUCUACGUAAUUACUGACUCAUUUUGCAUAACACUGCAACAGCACAAUUGCUAAUGUGAAACUGCUUUUAUGCAAUAGUUCUAUAAAAAAAAGUAAGUUUCAGGAAUUUGGCCAAUUCAUUAAAGUAUUGAUAUACACUGCCGUUCAAAAGUUCGGCGUUUAUUUAUUUGAUUGUAUGUUUGUUUGUUAAUUUAUUUAUUUAUGUUUUUGAAAGAAGUCUGCUUCUUUCUGUCUGCUUAUGCUCAAGGCUAAUCAAAAAUACAGUAAAAAACUGUAAUAUUGUGAAAUAUAAUUACAGUUUAAAAUAAGUUUUUUUAUUAUUAUUAUUAUUUUAACACAUUUUAAAAUUUAAUUUAGUCAAAAGAUGGCAAAGCUGAAUUUUCAGAAGCCAUUACUCCAAGCUUCAGUGUCCCAUUUGAACAGUUUAAUGCAUAUCCUUCACUGUAAAAAAAUGAUCAUGAUAUUAACGGUAAAAGACUGUAAAAAUGCUACAGUGAAAAACAGUUAAUUGGUUUACAGAAAGUUUCCAUACUAUAUAUGGUGAAUAACUGUAAUAGAUCUAACAGUACAUUUAAUGUAAUUUUACAGUAAAAUACUGUUAAAUUUACCUUUUACCUGUAAAUUUAACAGAAUUUUUUUUACAGUGUGUAAAAUAAACUGUUAUGAACCAUAAUUAUUACAAUAUAAACCUUUAAAUUUUGAACUGUAUAAUAAGUGCUGUCCCGUAAAACCUAAAAUGUUGCUACCGUAUUUUUUUACAGAAAAGUUCUGGCAACCACAGCUCUCAUUUUUUUUUUUUUGUGUAAAUUUCACUGGGAUUUUUUUUACAGUGUUGCAUUAAAAAACAAAAGAAUCAUUUAAGAAUUUUCAUGAAUGUGCCAAGGAGAGUAAGCACGCAUGUCCAGACUGAAAUGUCAGUCUUUUCCUCACAGAACGCCAUCUGAAGACUUGGAAUAUGGUGUUUUCAGUGGAGCGCGCGCCGUUCACAAUGACAGCUUUUGAUUCCAUCCGCUGGAGCGGUGCUCGUGCUUUUCUAUGGCGAGCAACUUCUAUGUUGGGCUUGUUCAGAUGAUGACAAGUCAAGAAUCUGAAGAAUCGAUCUGAAGAACGAUUCAGUGUAAUUGGAGUUUAUUCCCACUUUAUAAAGGCAGAGCACCAUCCGCUAUUUACGCACAUUCGCCGUUGCAACAGCUGUUUUUUUUCUUUUUUCUGCUUAUCUCCUGCACCCCCCUGCAGUACCCGUGCGCCCCACUUAGGGGGCGCGCCCCACACUUUGUGAACCACUGCAGUAGGGUGAGUAAAUGAUGACAGAAUUUUCAUUUUUAAGUCAACUAAUCCUUUAACAUCUUGUUCUGGAGAUAUUUUGAUGUUUGUGGGCUGCAGUGACCCUCAUUCUGAGCUUUACAUAAUGUUGCUUAAAAAUGCUGUAAGUGAUUUUAGCCAUUUUUCAAACUUGUGCCAGACUUUAGCCACUGAAUUAGAUCUGCCCUCAUUCCUUCAACCACACAGCCUCUCUGCAAAACCUGACCUCCAAAGACAUGUCAGAAUGGGCAAGAUGAUUCAAAACGGUUCUUCUGAGUCUAGAUUUGAGACAGAUACACCUAUUUCUCUAAUCUCUUUAAGUUAAUAGGGACUAUUUUAUGCAUGCUAUUCCAAAAUGAUUGCUUACUGCACUAUUAAUCUGGUCUAAUUCUGCUUUUUCCCUUGCAGCAGCCACUUGAAUCAAAUACACACACAUGCACUGUCAGUCUCUAUUCAUGAAUGUCUCUCUUCUCCGGGCUAAUGUGGGCAUGUCUAACUCAUAAACCAUCUUUCAUGUUUUUCAAGCGUGUUUGAAACAUAUAUAUGUGUGACGACGUGUGAUGUAUAACCCCGGUGGGAUCUGAAUCACUGCUCAUGACUAUUUCUGUGCAUUUUCAUGCACGUUUUCCACAUGAUCAGCACUAUAAAUAAACGUGCGGGAGUGUUUUAGUGGAAAUGUUAUACAGCAAUUCUGCAAUUCCACUGCGUCAGCCCACAAUCUCCCACUCAUUCAGUGCAGGGUCAGCUCAGCUGCGUCACAUCACCUACUAUUCCCAGAAUCCCUCGCUCUGUGUGUAUUUGUUAGGAUUCAUCCUCGUUAGGCUCCACACAGGAGACCUCAAUCACACUUAGCAUGAUAAAGCUCCAUUUAUAUGUAAAACUGCAUUAAUGAUUGUGCAGUUAUCAUAUAUAUUCAUAAUUAAUUUACUGCUGUGCCUACAUGCCCUGUUUGUUAAUAAGACACUGUUCAUAAUAAGCAUUUAGAAAAUGUGUUAGGUCUAGGCUUUCUACAUUGCUUGCAUGGGAGCAGAGCUUGAUUACAGUAAAGACAUGGUGUUAAAUGUACAUUUUAUGUUUGUUUUAUCAUUAUAAAAACACUAGAUGGUUACACUAGUAGAAAAAUAAUAAAUAGGUGCUAUGUUGUAUAUAUUUUAUUUACAGUAUAUUCAUAGAUACUCAUAUACAUUAAUUUAUUUUGCUCGCUUGUAUAUCUGUACAUAUACAUACACUACAAUAAAAAAUUUUGGUCAGAAAGAUUUUUUUUUCUGCGUUUGAAGGAAGUCUUUUGUUCAACAAGGCUGCAUUUAUUUGAUCAAAAAUACAGUAAAAUUGUGAAAUAUUAUUACAAUUUAAAAUAACUGUUUUCUAUUUUAAUAUAUUUCAAAAUGUAAUUUGUUCUUAUGAUGGCCAAGCAGAAUUUACUCUAGUCUUCAGUGUCACAUGAUCCUUCAAAGAUCAUUCUUAUGUGUUGAUUUGUUGUUAAAGAAACAUUAUCAAUGUUGAAAACAGUUUUUGCUGCUUAAUAUUUUUGUGAAAACUGUCAGAAAUAGAAAUUUCAAAAGAACAGCAUUUAUUUGAAAUUUAAUUCCAUUUAAUGCAUCCUCGCUGAAUAAAAGUGAAUCAUUUUGCUGACUAAUUUCUUUAAAGUAAUAAUAAUAAUAAUAACCUGCAAUAACCUUUUCUGUAUAGUCUAAAGUGCAUGUAAAUGGGACAAAAAAAUCAGAUUUGCAUCAAAACAUAUUAUGUGCAUUACACAUUGCAAGUGUAACCCCUCCUGUUCGACCGCCCGCUCUAAGCAGGAUUCAAACCCGGGUCCGCCGGCAUGGGAGUCGGGCCCUCUAACAAGGACGCUAAAGAGCAUAGCGUCUCUAGCGUCAAUUGCUAGAGCGCCUCUUGAGAUAAGUGAGGUUUACACGCACAGUUCUUACAGGCCUAUGUCUAUUACACUCACCCCCGGAUGGGUUACAUUGAAAAGCUGUUUGAACAGCCCACUCUAAGUGGGAUUCGAACCCAGGUCCAUCUGCAUGGGAGUCGGGCGCUCUAACGAGGCUAAAGACCGCAGUCUCUAUUGUCAGUCGCUAAAGCGCCUCUUGAGAUCAGGGGAGUGAGGUUUACGUGCACAGCUCUUACCAGCCUACCUCUGUUAAACAAGGCCAGGGACAAACAGUGUAUGCAGUGUCUUUACUUUAUCUGCCCUCUGUUCUAGGGACUGGGACAAUGUUUCUGGCUCUUCCCCUUGUUGAAGAUAAAUGACAGAUAUGAUCUCAGGAUGUCCUCUGGAAAACACUGGCAAGGUGCCACUUCACCCUCUCACAAAGACAUCCAACAUCAGGACAAAGUUUGACUUUGAGUCCACCUAAAUGUCUUCCAUUCAUUACGAAAUAAGGCAGAGAUGUAAACAAGGCCUUAUCUGCUGGUGAGAUCAUGCAUCACUGCUUUAUCCUUCUAUGCAUCAAGCUCAACAUUAUCCAUUGCAUUGGACAUGCCACAGAGUCGCCCCAAUGCUGGAGAGUUCAGCUGUCAGAGAAACAAAUCAUGCAUAAGCAGCUCUCACAGAAUCUCGGCGAGCGUGACUCACACAGCCCUGCUGGAGUGUCUGCUGUCAGCAGUUCUGUCUAACUGGGUGACAGGAGAGAAAUAAUGACAG